UACGUAGGGGGCAAGCGUUGUCCGGAAUCAUUGGGCGUAAAGCGCGUGUAGGCGGCUCGGUAAGUCUGGUGUGAAAUCCUGCGGCUCAACCGCAGACUGUCACUGGAUACUGUCGAGCUUGAGUCCGGAAGAGGAGUGUGGAAUUCCUGGUGUAGCGGUGGAAUGCGCAGAUAUCAGGAGGAACACCAAUGGCGAAGGCAGCACUCUGGUACGUGACUGACGCUGAGACGCGAAAGCGUGGGGAGCAAACAGG
rnacentral:rRNA from 1 species